CUACCAGAAACAAUUUCGUGUUCAUCCUCCAUGGUUUUUUAGUCGUUUUUGACAGAAUCGCCUGUUACUGGUAAUCUGAGAAGACCACUGUCUACAAAGGGCUGCAACUCUUCUUUUGCCAGCUCUUUUAUCUUGGAAUCCGAGGUUUCCAAAUAUGCGUUAAUGAUCUUGGAACUACAAAUAAAGGCGAUCUCAUUUUCAGGGCUUUUGUCUACUUACGAUCUUUGACAAUUUAACAAGGAAAAUGUUUGAUUAAGAAAGUCUCACCUAUGUCCUUCGACCCAGGUCGCACAUUUCCCUUUUAGAGCUUUUUCCCACAGAGUCGAAGCAAAAGCAGGACAGUCGAGAACAAGUUUUCUUAUAGUCCUGCUUGAAUGGAACUGCUCGAGAAUAUGCUCCUCUUCUGCAUUGUCCAGCUUAGGCUGAACAGCGAGUGAAACUAUAGCUUCAUGCAAAAAGGAUAACUUUUCAUCCAAAAUUGGAUGGAGGAUACCAUCAGCACCUCCAACAGCAACCUACAUGUAAUUACGAGAUUGAUUCAAGUCAAUGAUUCAUAGGCUACCAAAAUAAUUGAAGCCAAAAAAUAACUUGGAGACUGAAGGAAGAUCAGAUUAGAUAAACAAAAUGAAGCAAAUCCCAAUCCAAGAAGGGAAGAAUCGUGUAUUGAUGCAUAAUGAAAUACAAAUAUGCAAUUUUAUCAUAGAUGCCUUUUAAAGAAAGCUUCAAGUGAAAUUCACAAGUGACAUUCAAUGGAUGUUAAAUUAUCCCACUUAGCGAACUCACAAAAAAAGAGGAUUUCACAGAGCAAUUUCGGGGAUUUUAUUGUCUAUGUUAUAUACUGGCUAUUUUAUCGUACACUAUUUAUCAGAAAAUUCACAAUUUAAAACAUCAUUUUGCUUUGUGCGCUCAUUUGGUUCUCUAGAAGAGAGAUCUACUUACAUCUAAAAAGUGAUUCGUUACUAGUCAAGAGCAUAUUGGAUGGACACGGAGCGUCCUCCAUAUUGCUUACUCUGUUAAGCCUUUUUCCCUAUUUUGUUGGAUCAUUUUUCAAAAAACGAACUUUUAAUGUAGCACGUCGGUUUUGUUUAAGUCAUUUAUAAACAGCCUGAUCCAAGACAGCUAGCGGGGCAAAUUGUUGAAAACUCAGAAAACUGUGCUCUGGUGAGAUACGCCACCACUGAGGAUUUCCAUCAGGCAUCAUAUGAAGGCAAUGUAAGUUUAGUUCGUUUCCUCCUAUGCGUUAGUGUGCACUUAUAGAUUCUUUUAUCUUAUAAAAGAGAACCAAUAAGCUAUCAGGUAUCUAGGUAUUUUCCCUUCAAAACAGCAACGGAUUAUGCAAAGGUUGCAGAUUAUAAUGAGGACUGAUGGGCUACAGGAUAACUACCUCAUAUAUGAUCUCUUUCCCAAAUUUAGACCUCAGUAACUCUCCUGCCAUUUCAUGGCACGCAUCAAUGAGCGUUUGUUUAUUAAUAUUAAAUAUUUAUUUAUUUUAAUUAAUUAUUCAUUACAUAUUUGAGGGAGCUAUUAGUCACCAAUCGCAUGUGAUGACACGAGCUAUAUGAGUUUCUGCCAAAAUACGAAAUAAAUGAAUAAGCCCAAAAUCCAAGGUAAAAUAUGAACAGCAUCAGUUCAACAGUCAUAUCACGUUGUAAAUAAGCUAGAUAAUUUUAACUAGUUGAAAAGCAAACAGCAGAAGCAACAUUGCUAUAGAUUCAAGGUGGAAAAUGGCUGCUCCCAAUGGAAAACGAGAAAACAGUAAUUCCCGACUUAUAGCGGUUGCCACUCUAUCUGGGUCAAAGGAUCCGUUACUUUAUCAACUGAAGACAUUGAUUGUCAACGGAGGCCCCCGUUUGAUUCCCCUUUUUUUUCAAAAUGUAUUUUUCUCUUUCUUCUUUUCAACCACACAUUCUUCAUUAAAAUAAUAUUACACGUAAAUCAAAAAAAAUUCCUUAUUUUUCACCUACACAUUCUUCAUUGAUCUAGUAUUCUAAAAUUCAUUUUUCCCUAAAAAUGAGUAUCAAACACCCCGACAAUAUAAAAAUUGGCUCUCACCGAAUAAUUGAGAAUUAAGUAGAUUAACAACAAUGAAUUUGAGAUCCUAUUGCCCUUUUUUGUCAUUCGAUUAAUUUCAAGAAUUUUCAUACUUGGUUUAAUUGCUUGUUUUACUCGUUAACUAGAUGUAGUUUAAAACAAAACCUAAAUAACUGAUUGCAUGUUUCUUGAAUUAGAGUUGCUUUAUUAAGGUAAAGUACGUAGAUAAUCAAUCCUCGUGAAGUAAUACUUUAUUAGUCAUUUUAUUAAUUGUAACUAUCCAUCCACUUACAGCAUAAAUCGACUAGUUUUUUACACCGUCGAUGGUGACUACUAAAUUUAGCUUUAAUUCCAUUUUCAGGUGAUCAACUGUUAAAUUAUUUUUUCAGGGAACAAGGAAAGCAGCAAUAUAACAAAAUGGGCGACAACGGAAACUACAUUAGUAGGGUAUUACAUUCAUAAAAUAUAAAAGAAGAAGAAGAUAUUCUUGUUUCUUUGAAAAUGAUAAGUUUAGCUUAAAAGACUAGUAACAACAUAAAAAGAGAUCCCAAAACUUCUAAAACAGAAAAGACAUUUAAACUUUGAGCGUCCUCUUCUAUUAUCAUGCCAAUGUUAUGAGGUGCUAACCGGAUCUAUAAACGGCUUGCUUCCCAUACAGGCGUAUAAAACUUCCAUCGUCCCAAAACUCAUGCAACCAAAAGAACUCAUUCGACUGAGUAGAAACUGUCAAUGAUUCUCAUCAGACGAGUCAUUCGUGUGAGCAGGCAUUUAUAUCACAUUCAUGCUCUACCAGAAACAAUUUCGUGUUCAUCCUCCAUGGUUUUUUAGUCGUUUUUGACAGAAUCGCCUGUUACUGGUAAUCUGAGAAGACCACUGUCUACAAAGGGCUGCAACUCUUCUUUUGCCAGCUCUUUUAUCUUGGAAUCCGAGGUUUCCAAAUAUGCGUUAAUGAUCUUGGAACUACAAAUAAAGGCGAUCUCAUUUUCAGGGCUUUUGUCUACUUACGAUCUUUGACAAUUUA
rnacentral:lncRNA from 1 species